rnacentral:rRNA from 1 species
AGGCGAGGCCGAAAGGCGUAGUCGAUGGGAAACGGGUUAAUAUUCCCGUACUUGGUGUUACUGCGAAGGGGGGACGGAGAAGGCUAUGUUGGCCGGGCGACGGUUGUCCCGGUUUAAGCGUGUAGGUGUGUGUUCCAGGUAAAUCCGGUUCACUUUAACACUGAGGCGUGACGACGAGGCACUACGGUGCUGAAGCAACAAAUGCCCUGCUUCCAGGAAAAGCCUCUAAGCAUCAGGUAACAUCAAAUCGUACCCCAAACCGACACAGGUGGUCAGGUAGAGAAUACCAAGGCGCUUGAGAGAACUCGGGUGAAGGAACUAGGCAAAAUGGUGCCGUAACUUCGGGAGAAGGCACGCUGACACGUAGGUGAAGUGAUUUACUCAUGGAGCUGAAGUCAGUCGAAGAUACCAGCUGGCUGCAACUGUUUAUUAAAAACACAGCACUGUGCAAACACGAAAGUGGACGUAUACGGUGUGACGCCUGCCCGGUGCCGGAAGGUUAAUUGAUGGGGUCAGCGCAAGCGAAGCUCCUGAUCGAAGCCCCGGUAAACGGCGGCCGUAACUAUAACGGUCCUAAGGUAGCGAAAUUCCUUGUCGGGUAAGUUCCGACCUGCACGAAUGGCGUAAUGAUGGCCAGGCUGUCUCCACCCGAGACUCAGUGAAAUUGAACUCGCUGUGAAGAUGCAGUGUACCCGCGGCAAGACGGAAAGACCCCGUGAACCUUUACUAUAGCUUGACACUGAACAUUGAGCCUUGAUGUGUAGGAUAGGUGGGAGGCUUUGAAGUGUGGACGCCAGUCUGCAUGGAGCCGACCUUGAAAUACCACCCUUUAAUGUUUGAUGUUCUAACGUGGACCCGUUACCCGGGUUGCGGACAGUGUCUGGUGGGUAGUUUGACUGGGGCGGUCUCCUCCUAAAGAGUAACGGAGGAGCACGAAGGUUGGCUAAUCCUGGUCGGACAUCAGGAGGUUAGUGCAAUGGCAUAAGCCAGCUUGACUGCGAGCGUGACGGCGCGAGCAGGUGCGAAAGCAGGUCAUAGUGAUCCGGUGGUUCUGAAUGGAAGGGCCAUCGCUCAACGGAUAAAAGGUACUCCGGGGAUAACAGGCUGAUACCGCCCAAGAGUUCAUAUCGACGGCGGUGUUUGGCACCUCGAUGUCGGCUCAUCACAUCCUGGGGCUGAAGUAGGUCCCAAGGGUAUGGCUGUUCGCCAUUUAAAGUGGUACGCGAGCUGGGUUUAGAACGUCGUGAGACAGUUCGGUCCCUAUCUGCCGUGGGCGCUGGAGAACUGAGGGGGGCUGCUCCUAGUACGAGAGGACCGGAGUGGACGCAUCACUGGUGUUCGGGUUGUCAUGCCAAUGGCACUGCCCGGUAGCUAAAUGCGGAAGAGAUAAGUGCUGAAAGCAUCUAAGCACGAAACUUGCCCCGA